GUCCUCUUGAACACUUUUGNAUCUGACUUUUAAUCAGAGGGUCGAAGGUUCGAAUCCUUCAUGGCUCACCA
rnacentral:tRNA from 1 species